rfam:Rachicladosporium antarcticum strain CCFEE 5527 scaffold_28, whole genome shotgun sequence.
GACUGGGUGGUUUAGUGGUAAAAUUAGUCGUUGCCACUUGCGCGACAUUCGACUAGCCCCGGGUUCGAUUCCCGGUCCAGUCA